UAUAUCUCUUCACCUUAUUCCUCUCAAGUUUUUAGUCUAGAGCACGUAAACAUAUUUUCUGAGAAUCUUUCUCUUUCUUCAUCAAAUCUGUGUAAUAUCGUUUUACACUUGUACUACUGCUGCUGUACACAUUCAUUCUCCUCAUAUCACAUCGUGGUCAUGAACCUUAAUCGACGCAGUCAUUGUAUUGAGAGUUCUAUUUCUCUCUGUUAGACACAAAAGCUCGAGAUACUGGAGAUAUCAAGGAACCUUGACUGAUUUUGCAAAAAUCCACACAGUGAUGCCAGAACAACACCAUCUGUAAACUCACUCUGACACUUGUCUUGACACAUGCUUUCCGUCUUGCAUCGACAGCUCCCCACACUGCACUGUUAUCCCUUGACUUGAGUGCAACCUCAUAAAAAGAAUCAUACUAAUACCCAUGCUUCAUCUCAAGGUUUUCUAUCAACUUUUCAAAUCUUUAUUUCAGUUCCUCUUUCAGUACUGCCCCUUUCUCUCCAGUAAUCCAAAAUCUCCUCUGAAGCCUCAUCUUCUAUUUUAUUAUCUUGAUCUCAUCUUCACACAAACAACGUUCUUUGUUUCUGUUGAAACUUAAAAACUUUUCUUCAUAUCCUUGUAGUGCAGAGAUUCUUUAGAAGAUAUCUGCUUCUUUAAAAUAUUAUCAUGAAUAGACUGCGUCAUCAGAUUCAAGCCGCUUCUCUACGCCCU
rnacentral:lncRNA from 1 species